UACGUAGGGGGCUAGCGUUGUCCGGAUUUAUUGGGCGUAAAGAGCGUGUAGGCGGCCAGAUAGGUCCUCUGUGAAAACUCGAGGCUUAACCUCGAGAUGUCGGUGGAAACCAUCUGGCUAGAGUCCGGAAGAGGAGAGUGGAAUUCCUGGUGUAGCGGUGAAAUGCGCAGAUAUCAGGAGGAACACCCGUGGCGAAAGCGGCUCUCUGGGACGGUACUGACGCUGAGGAGCGAAAGCGUGGGGAGCGAACAGG
rnacentral:rRNA from 1 species